UACGGGGGGGGCAAGCGUUGUUCGGAAUUAUUGGGCGUAAAGAGCUCGUAGGCGGUCUGUCGCGUCUGCUGUGAAAACUCAGGGCUUAACCCUGAGCUUGCAGUGGGUACGGGCAGACUAGAGUGCGGUAGGGGAGACUGGAAUUCCUGGUGUAGCGGUGGAAUGCGCAGAUAUCAGGAGGAACACCGAUGGCGAAGGCAGGUCACUGGGCCGCAACUGACGCUGAGGAGCGAAAGCAUGGGGAGCAAACAGG
rnacentral:rRNA from 1 species